GGCAGUGUGGUGUAGUGGUUUAAGUGUUAGACUACUACUCUGAAAAUCAGGGUUUCAAUCCCCGCUCAGCCA